rnacentral:lncRNA from 1 species
GGCGUUCGGCGAGGCAGAGGGAGGCCUAAGAAGUAUCGGGGAGAGGUGAUUAGGCAUAACAUGGCUAGAAUGUGGGUUUCCGAGGACAUGACCCUUGAUAGGAAAGUCUGGAGGUCUGGUAUCAGGGUUGUAGGACAUGGGCUCCUAGAGUUUUUCUUACUCCUCACCCGGGGUUGGGUGAGGCUUGGCAGGGCUAUCCA